AAAAAGCGUAACAAGGUUUCCGUAGGUGAACCUGCGGAAGGAUCAUUGAAUCUAUUCAUUAUACUUUACUAACAACCGUGAACUUGUGUACCGGUCUUGUCGGGCGUAAGUCUUCUCUCUCCCUGAGAAAACGAUGAUGCGCCCGCGCAAGGCACAUUAUACAACCACACAUUUACACCCCAAACCGAGAGCGCAGAGCAUCCCUCGUUUUCUCCUUCACCGGAGAAGCGGGCGCUCUGUGCUCUUUGUUCAUUCUAAAGCAACAAACACAUGAAGAGUCUAUGUUCUUACGAUCGACGCUUUACGCUCGAUGCAAAGAAUCGACUCGACAUACCUAACCAAAAAACAACUCUCAACAAUGGAUAUCUUGGCUCUCGCAACGAUGAAGAACGCAGCGAAAUGCGAUACGUAGUGUGAAUUGCAGAAUUCCGUGAAUCAUCGAAUCUUUGAACGCAUAUUGCACUCGAGGCUUCGGCCGAGAGUAUGUCUGUCUCAGCGUCAUUCGUAACCCUCACCUCCCACCCCCCUAUACAUCCGUGUAGGGCGUGGUGAGCGAUGCUCCCGCCCUCGUCGCGAGCGUCCGGAUUUAGGUGGAGCUGGCUUUUGCUCUCACGAGAGCAUCAGCUGAAGCGUCGAGCGCUCGAAGCAAGGACGUUUCCGACCCUCAAAACGUCGGAAGCGAUGACUGGACAGGUUUCCCUCAUUGAAACACGAAAGUCGUCGACCAUUGUCCUUGUGCGUAGGGCCCAACGUGGCAACGCGUGGGUGCGUCUUUUACCGGACACGCCCGCUCUCAACCACAACCACUCCUUACACCUUGACCUGAGCUCAGGCA
rnacentral:rRNA from 1 species